GAUGAACGCUGGCGGCGUGCCUAAUACAUGCAAGUCGAGCGAACGGACGAGAAGCUUGCUUUUCUGAUGUUAGCGGCGGACGGGUGAGUAACACGUGGAUAACCUACCUAUAAGACUGGGAUAACUUCGGGAAACCGGAGCUAAUACCGGAUAAUAUUUUGAACCGCAUGGUUCAAAAGUGAAAGACGGUCUUGCUGUCACUUAUAGAUGGAUCCGCGCUGCAUUAGCUAGUUGGUAAGGUAACGGCUUACCAAGGCAACGAUGCGUAGCCGGCCUGAGAGGGUGACCGGCCACAUGGGGACUGAGAUACGGCCCAGACUCCUACGGGAGGCAGCAGUGGGGAAUAUUGCACAAUGGGCGGAAGCCUGAUGCAGCAGCGCCGCGUGCGGGAUGACGGCCUUCGGGUUGUAAACCGCUUUCGCCUGUGACGAAGCGUGAGUGACGGUAAUGGGUAAAGAAGCACCGGCUAACUACGUG
rnacentral:rRNA from 1 species